rnacentral:rRNA from 1 species
CCUACGGGAGGCAGCAGUGAGGAAUAUUGGUCAAUGGCCGAUAGCCUGAACCAGCCAAGUAGCGUGAGGGAUGAAUGCCCAGAGGGUCGCAAACUUCUUUUAUAUGGGGAUAAAAUGCCGGACGUGUCCUGCUUUGACUGUACCCUGUGAAAAAGGAUCGGCUAACUCCGUGCCAGCAGCCGCGGUAAUACGGAGGAUCCGAGCGUUAUCCGGAUUUAUUGGGUUUAAAGGGUGCGUCGGCGGGUGGUUAAGGCAGUAGUGAAAGUCGGGGGCUCAACCGUAAAAUUGAAGUUGAUACUGGCAGCCUUGAGUACAGUGGAGGCAUGCGGAAUGCGUGGUGUAGCGGUGAGAUGCAUAGAGAUCACGAAGAACCCCGAUUGCGAAGGCAGCGUGCUGUGCUGUAACUGACGCUGAUGCUCGAAAGGGUGGGGAUCAAACAGGAUUAGAUACCCGAGUAGUC